UGGCUAAAGAAUAAGAUUACGGAAUAGUAAUUGAAGUUAGUUCUUCAAAUUUAUUCUGAGCUCUGGAGAAAAUGAGUCUAGGAUCCAGCUCUGCAGCAUUAUAAAUUGCAUUGUUCUAAGCUUUCUAGAUAUGCUAGCACAUGAAGUAAGCUAACUUAAGCUCCCUAUUAUCAAGAGAUUGGAAACUAUCAGCUAGCAAAAUCCACCAAUCAAUAAAAGAUCCAAAACCUUCAGUCCACGGACAAAAACCAAGAUUUGAACCAAACUAGUAAGCCUUAGCAUGACUACAGAAA
rnacentral:misc_RNA from 1 species